rnacentral:rRNA from 1 species
UACGAAGGGGGCUAGCGUUGCUCGGAAUCACUGGGCGUAAAGGGUGCGUAGGCGGGUCUUUAAGUCAGGGGUGAAAUCCUGGAGCUCAACUCCAGAACUGCCUUUGAUACUGAAGAUCUUGAGUUCGGGAGAGGUGAGUGGAACUGCGAGUGUAGAGGUGAAAUUCGUAGAUAUUCGCAAGAACACCAGUGGCGAAGGCGGCUCACUGGCCCGAUACUGACGCUGAUGCACGAAAGCUAGGGGAGCAAACAGG